rnacentral:misc_RNA from 1 species
AAGUCGUAACAAGGUUUCCGUAGGUGAACCUGCGGAAGGAUCAUUAAAGAGAAAAUGGGCUUCGGUCCUGACCUCCCAACCCUUUGUUUACCUUACCACUGUUGCCUCGGGCGGGUCGUCGACCCCUUUGACGGGGCGCCGCCGUCGGGCCUUCAAACGCUUUCGAGUGCCCGCCGCAGGCCCAAUCUAAAUUCUUGUAAACCCAGUCUUUCUGAGAGUAAAUUUAAUACUUCAAAAG